rnacentral:rRNA from 1 species
UUUGAAAAGCUUGCUUUUCAAAUCUUAGCGGCGGACGGGUGAGUAACACGUGGGCAACCUGCCCUUGAGACGGGGAUAACUCCGGGAAACCGGAGCUAAUACCGGAUAACACAUAUCUUCGCAUGAGGAUAUGUUAGAAGGUGGCUUUUAGCUACCACUCAAGGAUGGGCCCGCGGCGCAUUAGCUAGUUGGUGAGGUAACGGCUCACCAAGGCGACGAUGCGUAGCCGACCUGAGAGGGUGAUCGGCCACACUGGGACUGAGACACGGCCCAGACUCCUACGGGAGGCAGCAGUAGGGAAUCUUCCGCAAUGGACGAAAGUCUGACGGAGCAACGCCGCGUGAGUGAUGAAGGUUUUCGGAUCGUAAAGCUCUGUUGUUAGGGAAGAACAAGUACCUGUUAAAUAAGCAGGUACCUUGACGGUACCUAACCAGAAAGCCACGGCUAACUACGUGCCAGCAGCCGCGGUAAUACGUAGGUGGCAAGCGUUGUCCGGAAUUAUUGGGCGUAAAGCGCGCGCAGGCGGUUCCUUAAGUCUGAUGUGAAAGCCCACGGCUCAACCGUGGAGGGUCAUUGGAAACUGGGGAACUUGAGUGCAGAAGAGGAGAGCGGAAUUCCACGUGUAGCGGUGAAAUGCGUAGAGAUGUGGAGGAACACCAGUGGCGAAGGCGGCUCUCUGGUCUGUAACUGACGCUGAGGCGCGAAAGCGUGGGGAGCGAACAGGAUUAGAUACCCUGGUAGUCCACGCCGUAAACGAUGAGUGCUAAGUGUUAGAGGGUUUCCGCCCUUUAGUGCUGCAG